AUUAAACGCUGGCGGCAUGCCUUACACAUGCAAGUCGAACGGCAGCACGGGGGCAACCCUGGUGGCGAGUGGCGAACGGGUGAGUAAAGCAUCGGAACGUGCCCUGGAGUGGGGGAGUAACGUAGCGAAAGUUACGCUAAUACCGCAUAUUCUUGUGAGCAGGAAAGCAGGGGAUCGCAAGACCUUGCGCUCUGGGAGCGCCGAUGUCGGAUUAGCUAGUUGGUGGGGUAAAGGCCUACCAAGGCGACGAUCCGUAGCGGGUCUGAGAGGAUGAUCCGCCACACUGGGACUGAGACACGGCCCAGACUCCUACGGGAGGCAGCAGUGGGGAAUAUUGGGACAAUGGGCGCAAGCCUGAUCCAGCCAUGCCGCGUGGGUGAAGAAGGCC
rnacentral:rRNA from 1 species